CCGAAUUUAAGCAUAUCAAAAGCCGGAGGAAAAAUUUUUUGAUUAUGCAGGCGGGAGGGGGAUGGGGAGAUCCUGUAUCAUUUAUUUUUUUAUUUUGGAUGUAGCGAAAAUAG
rnacentral:rRNA from 1 species